UAGAAAAUAAUAAUAAUAACAAUUAUCCCCCCCUAUUGUGCACAUUUGCGUGAGCUUAAGAGUAAAGUGCCCCUAUUCAAUUAGGGGUAUUUGAAAUGCUUGCGAACUUUUUUUUCAUUACACUCUAUUACAUAAGGUUGUUUGCAUGUGUUGUGUAUUAUACAUAUAUAUAUUGUUA
rnacentral:misc_RNA from 1 species